AUUGAACGCUGGCAGCAUGCUUAACACAUGCAAGUCGAACGGGGGCAGUAAUGCCCUAGUGGCGGACGGGUGAGUAAUGCGUAGGAAUCUGCCUGGCAAUGGGGGACAACCUGGGGAAACUCAGGCUAAUACCGCAUACGCUCGCGAGAGGAAAGCGGGGGACCUUCGGGCCUCGUGUUGUGAGAGGAGCCUACGUCCGAUUAGCUAGUUGGGAGGGUAACGGCCUACCAAGGCGACGAUCGGUAGCUGGUCUGAGAGGAUGAUCAGCCACACUGGGACUGAGACACGGCCCAGACUCCUACGGGAGGCAGCAGUGGGGAAUAUUGGACAAUGGGCGCAAGCCUGAUCCAGCAAUGCCGCGUGGGUGAAGACGGCCUGCGGGUUGUAAAGCCCUUUAGGUGGGGAAGAAGGGUGAGGUUUAAAUAGAGCCUGACUUUGACAUUACCCACGGAAUAAGCACCGGCUAACUCCGUGCCAGCAGCCGCGGUAAAGUCACA
rnacentral:rRNA from 1 species